CAACAAGAGAGAAAACUGAUCGAGGAGGAAAUGAUGAGUUCAGGUCCAGAUUUGGUAGCAAUUUUGGAGCAGUUGCACGCUACAAGGGCGACAGCGAAAGAGAGACAAAAAAACCUAGAGAAGAGUAUAAGGGAAGAGGCUCGCCGGCUCAAGGAUGAGAGUGGUGGGGAUGGUGAUAGGGAUAGGAGGGGGCUUAUUGAUAGAGAUAUGGAG
rnacentral:misc_RNA from 1 species